rnacentral:rRNA from 1 species
UGAAUUGAAGAGUUUGAUCAUGGCUCAGAUUGAACGCUGGCGGCAGGCUUAACACAUGCAAGUCGAACGGUAACAUGAAGAAGCUUGCUUCUUUGAUGACGAGUGGCGGACGGGUGAGUAAUGCUUGGGAAUCUAGCUUAUGGAGGGGGAUAACUACGGGAAACUGUAGCUAAUACCGCGUAGUAUCGGAAGAUGAAAGUGUGGGACCUUCGGGCCACAUGCCAUAGGAUGAGCCCAAGUGGGAUUAGGUAGUUGGUGAGGUAAAGGCUCACCAGGCCGACGAUCUCUAGCUGGUCUGAGAGGA